AUUGAACGCUGGCGGCAGGCCUAACACAUGCAAGUCGAACGAGUGGCGGAAGGGUGAGUAAAGGCUGGGAAACUGCCUGAUGGAGGGGGAUAAAUACUGGAAACGGUAGCUAAUACCGCAUAACAUCGGAAGUGCACAGAUGGGAUUAGCUAGUAGGUGGGGUAAAGGCUAACCUAGGCGACGAUCCCUAGCUGGUCUGAGAGGAGGAACAGCCAAACUGGAACUUAGACCCGGUCCAGACUCCUACGUGAGGCAGCAGUGGGGAAUAUUGCACAAUGGGCGCAAGCCUGAUGCUGCCAUCCCGCGUGUAUGAAGAAGGCCUUCUGGUUUUAAAGUACUUUCAGCGGGGAGGCGUUACCCGCAGAAGAAGCACCGGCUAACUCCGUGCCAGCCGCCGCGGUAAUUC
rnacentral:rRNA from 1 species